rnacentral:lncRNA from 1 species
ACAGACGAGCUGUGGGAAGCAGGAGGGAGACUCUCUCUUAGGGUGCCACUACUAUGGAGACACAGCUGGGCUGAACAAGAUUUGCUUCAAACGACAACAAGAGAGACAGAAAGUAUCUGGUUCAACCGCUGCCCGAGCAGGCAGGCACCAGAAGAGCUAGCAGCCAAUCCGGCCAUGCUCGAAGCCAGCUCUGCAGCUCAGCCAAUCAGUGACAUCAUUGCUUUCUUUAGCUUGCCCAUGGUGAUGUGAAGAUGAGAAGAAAUAGCAAGGCCCAACCAGUUCUUCAUCUGGAGACAGUUCAACGUUCUGCAAACCAGAUCUUCAGGAAUUUUACUGGGAUAAUUAUCCAAAUAAAUUGCAAGCAUUCUAUCCAAAUGGAGCUCUUUCUGAGAUGAAGAGAAUUCUCAAUGUCAAGAUUUGAACAAGAAGAGAAUGGAAUACACAAUAUGGACAUCCAUAAAAAUUCAUCAGAGAGCAUUUUACUACUGAGCUGCAAAGAUGACAAGAGCACCUCAAAGGCAGCAGCCUCAAGGAGCAGCCAUGGCCCCAGACUUGUCGCACGGAUGCAGAAAACUUAAUGGAGGAGGCUGAGGUCAGAAUGGGAAGAGUUUUUAAAAAAUAAAAAGGGGAGCUAA